CAAGAAAUAGUUUUAAAGUAGAAUAUUAAUUUUGGAGAUUAAAGGUAUAUUAUAUAAUUAAAUAUUUUUUUGA
rnacentral:tRNA from 1 species